rnacentral:rRNA from 1 species
GAUGAACGCUGGCGGCGUGCCUAACACAUGCAAGUCGAACGGAGUCGUUUUGGAAAUCUCUUCGGAGAUGGAAUUCUCGACUUAGUGGCGGACGGGUGAGUAACGCGUGAGCAAUCUGCCUUUAAGAGGGGGAUAACAGUCGGAAACGGCUGCUAAUACCGCAUAAAGCAUUAAAUUCGCAUGUUUUUGAUGCCAAAGGAGCAAUCCGCUUUUAGAUGAGCUCGCGUCUGAUUAGCUAGUUGGCGGGGUAACGGCCCACCAAGGCGACGAUCAGUAGCCGGACUGAGAGGUGGAACGGCCACAUUGGGACUGAGACACGGCCCAGACUCCUACGGGAGGCAGCAGUGGGGAAUAUUGCGCAAUGGGGGAAACCCUGACGCAGCAACGCCGCGUGAUUGAAGAAGGCCUUCGGGUUGUAAAGAUCUUUAAUCAGGGACGAAACAAAUGACGGUACCUGAAGAAUAAGCGCCGGCUAACUACGUG